AGCCAUGUGUGAAGCACAAAGUGAUUAUUCUUUCGCCUUUUACUAAAGAAUAUUGUGUGCUUGUCGCAAAUAGUGGCAUAUGCCUAUUUUUGGAAGACUUCAUCUUUGGGUUGCCU